rnacentral:lncRNA from 1 species
AUGAAACUGGCUCUUUCUAUGUCGGCCUUCCAUGAAAAACUUAAGCAGGUGAGAUGUGUGUUGUUUGAAGUUCUUCCAAAUGCAUAAAAGUUAAAACAUCUUAACAGUUUUUAAAACACUCAGAUUAUGAUUAUAAUAAUCUGGCUUUGUAAUCAUAUUUAAUGAAACAAUAAUUAUAACUUAUAAUGUUCAAAAAACAAUAUAUAGCAUUAUACCAUCAUCCUUGACCAUCAUGACAGAUAAUGAACAAUACUAAAAGUAUGCAUUGACCCAUGUCCCAAACACUGAACUUGAAGCUUAAUACCAGAGAAAAAAAAAACAGUUGAAUUUAUUAACAUAAGACUAAAAAAUAAAAGAAUUACCUGAAACCUAGUUAAGGCUUUCGUUAGGAUAAGGCCAAUGUUAAGUACUAUCUGCCUCUUCAUGAAAAACCAAAAUUUUUGACACUCAUCUGUCACCUGUGCGAUAUUUAUGUUUACAUUAGUUAGUAAUAUCCUAUUAUCCUCAACUUGAUCAUACCAAAGUAGACUCUAAUAACACUACACAAAUAAACUGAAAAACCACAUCCAUUUUGCAUCAAAAUCAAAUGAAACUGAAACUAUACAAUCAAUGAGCUAAUUUACCUUAUAAUCACUCAGUGAACAGCAUCACGCAUGGCGAAUAAUCGUUAUAUGAAAAAAGCUGAGAAAUGAAUGCUUUGCUACUUUCACUUUAUAUAAUAAGUCCAAUUAACCUACUGAUUAUCCGACAAAUCUUAUGAAGAAAAUGAUAGAACAACAAAAAAUUAUCAAAUAAUAACUAAUUUCAGUUUCAGUAUUAAUAUACUACAAGUUCACUUGAACGUAACAUAAUCACACCACCAACAAUUGAACGACGAAUUACCUGAAUCGUGAAGAGUGUCAAGAUGAAAUGACGCAGACGGUGAGCGGAGCUCUUAUCACCGAAAACUGCCUGGAAUCCGCUAUCCAGGUCCACUUGUCAUCCCCCCAACCUGAAAUCAAAAGCCAUAACUGCUGCAGUUAAUUGGUUUACGUCAGCCUUCUCUGCAUCAUUAUUUUUGGCUGCCUCAACCAGUUAAAAAAUAAAAGUAUACCCCAACAAUCCAUCUUGACCCGCUCAGAUAUUAAAACAUUUUAUGAUGCUCUAGAUGAAAAAGGUUUGGGAACUUUAUACUUAGCGGCUCUUCAAAAAGCCACGCUUCCUUUCAAAACAAUAUAUUUCGGUUACUUCCACAAUAAAAAGGUCAGGAAGGUCAAUACCCAAGAGCAUGAGUUCACUCGAUAUUUUGUGAAUAUCAUCACAAAAUACUAAAUCUAUCUCGUAAUACCCAUAUACGUGGUCAUAUUUCUUUCCUCAACAUCAAUUGACCUUGUUUAGUUUAUUGUAUAACUAUUAUGAGUCUUGUUUUUUUAGAAAUAUAAACAAAGAGCCAGCAAAAACAUUGUUGAAGAUAAGGUCCAGUAACACAAUUCGUAUCCAUGACAUUUUUAGAAACAUUUAAUAUGUGAAUACAAAUUUAUAGUAUUAUCAAGGGCUUAAAUUCAU